UACGAAGGGGGCUAGCGUUGCUCGGAAUCACUGGGCGUAAAGCGCACGUAGGCGGAUCUUUAAGUCAGGGGUGAAAUCCUGGAGCUCAACUCCAGAACUGCCUUUGAUACUGGGGAUCUCGAGUCCGGGAGAGGUGAGUGGAACUCCGAGUGUAGAGGUGAAAUGCGCAGAUAUCAGGAAGAACACCCGUGGCGAAGGCGGCUUUCUGGGACGGUACUGACGCUGAGACGCGAAAGCGUGGGGAGCGAACAGG
rnacentral:rRNA from 1 species